rnacentral:rRNA from 1 species
AGAGUGAACGCUGGCGGUAGGCCUAACACAUGCAAGUCGAACGGCAGCACGGUAAGAGCUUGCUCUUAUGGGUGGCGAGUGGCGGACGGGUGAGGAAUACAUCGGAAUCUACCUUUUGGUGGGGGAUAACGUAGGGAAACUUACGCUAAUACCGCAUACGCCCUUCGGGGGAAAGCCGGGGACCAGCAAUGGCCUGGCGCUGAUAGAUGAGCCGAUGUCGGAUUAGCUAGUUGGUGAGGUAAUGGCUCACCAAGGCGACGAUCCGUAGCUGGUCUGAGAGGAUGACCAGCCACACUGGAACUGAGACACGGUCCAGACU